UGUUUUCUAAGUUUACCACAGAUAUAUUGCACAUGUAUCUCCCAUUUUAGAUGCCUAUCAAAGUAGACACCCAAAUAUUUCAUUUCGACCACUGCACUAAUCCGCACACAAUUACAAGUUUUCAUAUUCCUACAAUCAUUGUCGUGAAUUUUAAUAGUCUCAAGGUCAUAAGGUAAUCCUGCUUUUGCCAUGGAGUGACAAAUGAAAUGAGUCUUGUCAAUAUUAAGAGAUAAUAAACUAAAAUCCAGCCAUUUUUUAACCUCAACAAGAGCUUGUUCGGCCUUUUGAAACACUUCAUCCCACGUGCCACCCCCAACCAUGGGAGCUGUAUCAUCAACGUAACAGACAACUUGCACACUUGUUAUUACCGAAAAUAUACUAUCCAUAUAGAGAGUGAACAAUAUUGGACCAAGGACCGUGCCCUGUGGCACACCACACCUCACUGGUAUUUUACUACUGUGAAUCUCGCCUAUCUUAACUUGCUGGUAACGAUUUUCAAGAAAUGAUUUUAAUAAAUUUAAUGGUAUUCCUCUUAUACCUUUAGCUUCUAAGCGUUCCAUCAAGAUGUGGUGCGGCACAGUAUCAAAGGCCUUAGCCAGGUCCAGGAAGAUUGUCAUACAUUUUGUAUUGGUGUUAAAAGCAUUUAUUAUGUCAUCAGCUACCCUGACUAAAGCAUCCUCAGUUCCCAUUCCCGUCUUAAAACCAUAUUGAUUUGCAUUAAGGUAAACUCCAGACCCAAAGAUAGUAUUUACCAGAUGUAAAAGAGGCACUAUCAAGUAUCUGUUAUAAUUCUUAAUAAAAUUAUUAGAUAUGC